CUCCAGGGGACUUCCAGAUCGCCAAUGCCGCAGACUACGAUGAGACGGGGCGGGGCGUGAUCAUGGGGGGCCCCGGCGCCCCCUGGUGGGACCUGGUGGAACCGCAGCUGGCUCAGGCGCUCCUGGACAGGAUGGAUCCCCGUCUGGCCCAGACUCUGCUGGAGAGAACCAGGAGUCCAGUUGGACCUCAGCCGGACCGAGCCGAGACCAGGACGCUCUCAGGCGGAUGGUUGCUAAGAUACUGUCUGGUAACGGCCCGAACGACGCCCAGCUGAUGAUGUCAUCAGGCCGCAGAGCGAAGCGGGACCUGUCCGCCGGGGCCGAACCCGUCAGCGCCACGCACAGACGGAGCCGCCGCUCCCUGGACGGCCAGUCGCCCAGCAACGAGCCGCCCCUCCUCAGAGUGAAGAGGCUGGACGACGAAGAGGAAGAGGAAGAGCUCCGCCCACGAGGACCUGGGCUGCAAAGGAUGAAACGCAUCGAUGCCAUGGCAACCGCUGACCUACAGGAAGUCAACCACGGGAGUCGGAGGCGCCGCAGGAGCUGUGCUGACCUACGACCCCCAGAUGUUGAUGGAUCAGAUUCUGGAUUACCUGAGGAAGUGAGAGGAGGAAGAGGAGGGGGAGAAGACAGUUCUGGUCGUGUCUCACAUUUUUAUUGUUCAUGUCAUUUCUUUGGUUUUGCUGCUUGUGUAAAUUUGAGUGGAUCAAAUGUUUGUUGUAUAAAUGAGGAAGAAUUUUCAAGAAGAAGCAAACUUCUGAUCAAACAUGUCUCAACACUACAUUACCCAUGAGCCUCGGCUGGUAUGCAGCGAUGAUGUGUUCCAUUGGAGUUUCUGGGCGUAAAAGCAACGAGAGCGCCCCCUGUGGUCGGAUUUGUGACGCUGGGAAGGCCUGAGUUCAGGAUCCAAUAACAGCUGGUUGAUAAAUGAAUCGUUCUGCUUUAAGUUGUUAACGUCACAGAGACCCAAACGUCAUCAUUUCCGUUUGAAAACAGAAUGCUAACAGUAGCUAGCAUCGUCACAGCUCUGAGUCAGACCAAACCAGCAUUAAAGCUGACCUCUGACCUUCAGACACAAAGUUCUCAUUGGCUGACUUCUUGCAGCAAGGCUUGCUGGGAGUCGGAGUUGACAGGUUUCUGUCCCCAAUGGACAUGUGAUGAACAGUGUUUGUGACCGUGGCAACAGCUUCUGAGCUCUGUGAUUGGUUCCUAGUUGUUGAUGUUCUCGUACCUUCAGCUUGUUGCUGUGCUGACUCGCCCGUCUGUGGAGAAACUUUGAUUUGUGUCACAAUAAGAAAUAAAGUCGUUAAAUUCA